rnacentral:rRNA from 1 species
UUGAACGCUGGCGGCAGGCCUAACACCUGCAAGUCGAGCGGAUGAAGGGAGCUUGCUCCUGGAUUCAGCGGCGGACGGGUGAGUAAUGCCUAGGAAUCUGCCUGGUAGUGGGGGAUAACGUCCGGAAACGGGCGCUAAUACCGCAUACGUCCUGAGGGAGAAAGUGGGGGAUCUUCGGACCUCACGCUAUCAGAUGAGCCUAGGUCGGAUUAGCUAGUUGGUGGGGUAAAGGCCUACCAAGGCGACGAUCCGUAACUGGUCUGUGAGGAUGAUCAGUCACACUGGAACUGAGACACGGUCCAGACUCCUACGGGAGGCAGCAGUGGGGAAUAUUGGACAAUGGGCGAAAGCCUGAUCCAGCCAUGCCGCGUGUGUGAAGAAGGUCUUCGGAUUGUAAAGCACUUUAAGUUGGGAGGAAGGGCAGUAAGUUAAUACCUUGCUGUUUUGACGUUACCAACAGAAUAAGCACCGGCUAACUUCGUG